CCAAAAUUCUUGUCUUAGAUUUGUCUAGAUACGGAUGUAUCAAGUCACAUUUUAGUAUUAGAUACAUCCGUAUCUAGACAAAUCUAAGACAAGAAAUUUGGGACAGAGGGAUUAGUUG
rnacentral:pre_miRNA from 1 species